rnacentral:lncRNA from 1 species
GGAUUCUGGUCAUACAGGAGUUUAUGGGCAUGAUGUAGUAGAUCUAGUAAAACACAAAGAGCAGAGACAAAUAAUAUUGUGGAUUUACAGGUGCAGUUGUUCAGAGGUACCACCAUACCUCAGUGGUGACGACCGUAUUUUCAACAAACCGACAACCCGAUAUAGUCAUGGAGGGAACAUCCGUGGAGGUUCUUGGCGUUCCCGACGAUAUCCUUGCCACUGUUAGAAUGGUCGACAAGCUCACAAUACACUUCCAACGACCAAGGAACGGGGGAGGAGAGGUGAAGAGAGUACAGUUUCCAGCCUACAGCCCAGGACAGGCCUUUGUCAUAUUUGAGGAACCAGAAGUGGCUGCUCGUGUUUUGCAGGAGACCCAUGUCUUAGAAGUGGAUGGACAACACUUUCCUCUUAAAAUCAGGAAAGCUGACAGGCCUGAGGUGGACAUGCCAGUCAAGGCCAAUCUGGAUGUGAGCAUGUUCUCCAUUGACAGCGAGAAGGCGCUCCAGCCUGUGAACGAGAUUCCCCAUGGUCAGCUACCCAUUCAGGGCUCCUUCCAACUGCAGCAGGUCUUACCCCAGGACACAAACACCCUGCGCCACAGCAGCCCUUCCCCAUCCAGUCUCAAUAGCCAUGCCUCUGGGGCCAUUUCCAAAUCCUCAAUCCGCUGCAACCCAUUUCCCAGCCGACAAGCAACGGGGUAUGUUGGGGACAACUUGACCCAUAUGAGGAACCCAUCCCCCAAGCCAGUGGAACCCAUCUCCCAGACCCAAUCUUGCAGUGAGGUCUUCUUCAUAACAGACGCAGAUGUGCUCAGUUAUGCCCUGUGCGUCAGGAAAAAGGACAUUGAUUCCAUUCUUGUAGGCCACACAACUCAAAUGGAUGUUAAGCCAGCUGACAGUUCAGACCUCCGCUAUGUUUUCCUUAAAGGGAAGAGUCCAGAGAGGGUUAUGGAAAAGCUGCAAGUUUUUCUCACCAAGCUUCAUUUAAGACUACGAACUCAAGAAAUCCCACUAUGGACACUCGAUCGCGACCGACAGGUUAGAAUUCAUGAACUGGUUCAGAAGUAUAAUAUAAUUUAUCCCACUGUCCUCGUCAAUCAGGUUGGAGAUCUCCUCCGCCUUGUAGGACCUUCCAAGGAAAGUUAUGAGAUGAAGCAGAGGCUCCUGGGAAAACCCAUACACCUGCUACCAGCUGGGCUAACAGGGAGGGUACUGGACAGGAGUGCCCAUAGUGCUCCUGGCCCAGUACCUGACCCUGUGUCUGCUACUGCACCAGAUUACUAGUAAAUUAACUACAUUUUGCAGUAGCUUGGUGGUAGUGGAGCUAAAUUCAAAUCUAGAUAGUGUUUGCAGUAGUUCAUUACUUGUUGUCAUGUAGCAGUGUAGCUAACUACUGGAACUACAUAUUACGUUUUAGCCAUGUAGUGGUGUAGCUAACUACUGGAACUACAUAUUACGUUUUAGCCAUGUAGCGGUGUAGCUAACUACUGGAACUACACACUACAUUUUAGCCACGUAGCGGGGUAGCUAACUACUGGAACUACACACUACAUUUUAGCCGUGUAGCGGUGUAGCUAACUACAGGAACUACACACUACAUUUUAGCUGUGUAGCUAACUACUGGAACUACACACUACAUUUUUGGCUAAAAUAAAAUGAGUGAAGUAGGCCAUCAUUUCCAUUUUUUGGCAUCAGACCAACCUGUUUCUCACUUGAAACAUAGUUUUUGUGUUUAGGCUAAAUUACACAUUCUGUUAAUAUAUGACCCCAAAGUGAUCUCUUGCAAUUUGUAGUCUGACAUUUCAGAUUUAGAUAUGAUACUUUUUCAAAAAGUAGUUUGGAUGUAGUGAACUACUUUUUCAAAAUAACUUUAAGUAAACAAUUUUUCUUAACUUCUUCCAGUGUGAGGUAAUUGGUAGCUUGCUAAACUAUCUUAUCUGAGUAGCUUUCCCAACACAGCAAAAUACCAGGGUGAGCCUGGCUCUCGUUCAUCCCAGGCAAAGCUAUUCUCUGUCCUGGCACCCAAAUGGUGGAACAAGCUUCCAGUUCUCCCUAAAAAUCAGGACAGCUGAGUCACAGCCCAUCUUCCGAAAACAUCUGAAAAGCCACCUCUUCAGUAUCUUUAACACCCUUGUUGACACCUACCACUACUCUUUUCUUACUCGCUUUGAUCAUUCAUUGAGGAAAAAUGUACUGACUAUGACUGUGUCAUGUGGUUGUCUCACCUAGCGAUCUUAAGAUAGAUGCACAAACUGUGCAGUGACUCUGGAUAAGAGCGUCUGCUGAAUGACAAAAAUGUCAUGUUUAAUGAACAUGGAAGGGUUGUACAAGGGGCUACAGUAGGCGCUGUGCCCUCUACACCCACUCCCAUUCACAGGGGAAGAAGUCACUCUGAUUCCCCGGCGAAAAUAAAAGAGCUUAGAGUUACACGGGAGGUCUUGAGGCAUGUAAGGUCAGAUGAUGUGGUGGUGCCCUCUGCUGGAACUCAAAUGCCAGUGGUGAAAAAGAAGUUCCAAAAUGUCCUACUAACAAUAGAAUGGAAGAAUGUGCUUUCAAUCAAGAAAAAGCCCUAGCAGGUUACUAGUUAGAUACAGACACCUGUAAUGAAAGUGGCUUGGCCUGUUUAUUUCUUGAAUGUCUUUAAUUUCAUAAUAUGAUGUGGGGUAAAAUGUUCAAUUCACAUGUAUACACAUUUUGUUUUGUAAGAUUUUUUUCUUCUUGGACAAAUUCAUUUCUGUAUUUUCUAAUAUUUUCUUUCUCAUGAUAUGAAUCUAUUCUAAAUGUGGUUUAUUUUUGUUUUGAGCGAUUGAGGGCAAUAAAAAUAUAUUAUAUUUGUGUUAAUUGAUCCUUUAAAUAUAUGCUGAUGCAAAGGCUGGUAACUAUACUCUAGGAGUGGACUUUGUUAAUCUACCGUAUCUGUUUUGAUUAUGUGGAGCAAUUAUUUAGAGAUGAUCUCAUCUUGUUUGUGUGGAAACUGUUCCUGAAAUGUGGUCACUUCAACUCCUCACACACACACACACACACACACACACACACACACACACACACACACACACACACACACACACACAAGACUAAAAUCAACACAUCAUGCUCUAGUUUGACAAUUUCUUUCGACUUGUC